ACUCCUACGGGAGGCAGCAGUGGGGAAUAUUGCACAAUGGGCGCAAGCCUGAUGCAGCCAUGCCGCGUGUAUGAAGAAGGCCUUCGGGUUGUAAAGUACUUUCAGCAGUGAGGAAGGUGGAUGCGUUAAUAGCGUAUUCAUUUGACGUUAGCUGCAGAAGAAGCACCGGCUAACUCCGUGCCAGCAGCCGCGGUAAUACGGAGGGUGCGAGCGUUAAUCGGAAUUACUGGGCGUAAAGCGCAUGCAGGUGGUUUGUUAAGUCAGAUGUGAAAGCCCGGGGCUCAACCUCGGAAUUGCAUUUGAAACUGGCAGACUAGAGUACUGUAGAGGGGGGUAGAAUUUCAGGUGUAGCGGUGAAAUGCGUAGAGAUCUGAAGGAAUACCGGUGGCGAAGGCGGCCCCCUGGACAGAUACUGACACUCAGAUGCGAAAGCGUGGGGAGCAAACAGGAUUAGAUACCCUGGUAGAUAGCG
rnacentral:rRNA from 1 species